AGGGUCACAAGGGAGAUGUCCGCCCCCAGUCGUAGCCUCGGACGGUUUCUGAGCGUUGGUGUUUGGCACGCGCCACCCUCUCUUGCUUUGGUUCCGCCAUGCCGAUGUACCAGGUAAAACCUUAUCACGGGCGCGGCGCGCCUCUCCGUGUGGAGCUUCCCACCUGCAUGUACCGGCUCUCUAACGUGCAAGGCAGGAGCGGCGGCCCAGCGCCCGGCGUUGGCCACCUACAGGACUCGGGGGACUAUCCUCUGACAGCUCCAGGUCUAUCCUGGAAGAAGUUCCAGGGCAGCUUCUGUGAGUUUGUGGGGACAUUGGUCUGUCGGUGCCAGUACAUCCUCCUCCAUGAUGACUUCCCUAUGGACAACCUCAUCUCCCUGCUCACUGGCUUCUCAGACUCACAAGUCUGCGCCUUCUGUCACACUAGCACCCUGGCUGCUAUGAAACUGAUGACCUCCCUGGUAAGAGUUGCCCUCCAACUGAGUCUGCACGAAGAUAUCAAUCAGCGUCAGUAUGAGGCUGAAAGAAACAAGGGGCCAGGGCAGAGGGCACCUGAGCGGCUGGAGAGCCUGUUGGAGAAACACAAAGAGCUGCAUUAAUACUACAUUGUCAAAGACAAAGACGAACAUGAGACAUGCGAUAUGAGUUUUAAAAGGAGAGAAGAGCAAAAAAACAAUACAGCUAUCCAAGGAGCAAGUGCUGAGCUUGUGAAAAAACAGCUUCUAUUUUAUUAAAUAAUAGUGUUCCUGCAGGGAUGUCUGAAGUACUCUGCAAGGCUAAUUAGGACAGAUCAAUGUACACUUACCUCUCCAGAAGGCUGAAAGGUGUGUAGUGACUAUGUGUCAUUAAAAAUUUACUUGACCAUGGGCAACAGAUGUCCAUGAAAGAAUGAC
ensembl:lncRNA STAG3L4 STAG3 cohesin complex component like 4 (pseudogene)